CCUAACCGUUCGGCUUGCAAGGGAUACUGCUGGCCUUGAGGCCGGAAGACGCCGAGGGUACUCUGGGGGUAGCGGUGAAAUGCUGUAAUCCUCGGGGGACCACCAGUGGCGAAGGCGCUCGGCGAGAACGGACCUGACGGUGAGGGGCGAAGGCUAGGGGAGCGAACGGGAUUAGGUACCCCGGUAGUCCUAGCUGUAAAGUAUGCGGGCCAGGUGUCUGGUGUUCCUCGAGAGCACCAUGUGCCGGAGGGAAGCCGUUAAGCCCGCCGCCUGGGAAGUACGGCCGCAAGGCUGAAACUUAAAGAAAUUGGCGGGGGAGCACUACAAGGGGUGGGACCUGCGGUUCAAUCGGAUUCAACGCCGAAAAACUCACCAGGGGCGACAGUUGUUUGAAGGCCACGUUGACGACCUUGCUAGACUAUCUGAGAGGUGGUGCAUGGCCAUCGUCAGCUCGUACCGUGAGGCGUCCUGUCAAGUCAGGCAACGAGCGAGAUCCUCGCCCUUAGUUGCCAUUCGGUGGAAAGCUGGGCACACUAAGGGGACCGCUGGCGCUAAGUCAGAGGAAGGAGAGGGCGACGGUAGGUCCGUAUGCCCCGAAUCCCCUGGGCUACACGCGGGUCACUAUGCGUAGGACAAUGGUUCGCGACUCCGUAAGGGGAAGCC
rnacentral:rRNA from 1 species